GAGCUCACUAAAAUGCUAAUUAGGCAAAAACAGGAGGUAAAGAAAUAGCCAAUCAUCUAUUGCCUGAGAGCACAGCGGGAGGGACAAGGAUUGGGAUAUAAACCCAGGCAUUCGAGCUGGCAACGGCAACCCCCUUUGGGUCUCCUCCCUUUGCAUAGGAGCUCUGUUUUCACUCUAUUAAGUCUUGCAACUGCACUCUUCUGGUCCGUGUUUCUUACCGCUUGAGCUGAGCUUUCCCUCACUGUCCACCACUGCUGUUUUGCCACCGUCACAGGCCCACCGCUGACUUCCAUUCUUCUGGAUCUAGCAGGCUGUCCACUGUGCUCCUGAUCCAGCGAGGCGCCCAUUGCCGCUCCCGAUUGGGCUAAAGGCUUGCCAUUGUUCCUGCAUGGCUACGUGCCUGGGUUCAUCCUAAUCAAGCCGAACACUAGUCACUGGGUUCCACGGUUCUCUUCCAUGACCCACGACUUCUAAUAGAACUAUAACACUCACCUCAUGGCCCAAGAUUCCAUUCCUUGGAAUCCAUGAGGCCAAGAACCCCAGGUCAGAGAACACGAGGCUUGCCACCAUCUUGGAAGUGGCCCCACCACCAUCUUGGGAGCUCUGGGAGCAAGGACCCCCGGUAACAUUUUGGCGACCACAAAGGGACAUCCAAAGUGGCUGAGAGGGUGAACCGCACAACCGUUCUUCCACCAUUCUCCAGUCUGCUCCUCCAAAAAAACUGUAAGUUGACCAGGAAUCUAACAAAACUUCAGUCGUCAGUACAUCUCCUCUCCUUAGAUGAAGAUGCCAAGGCACACGGAAGUUAAGUAUCCAAGUAUUUUUAAGAUCCAAUUCCUGCCACCCUUGAAAACACCAGCUUCAUGUGCUAUUGUUCCCCUGCCACAUGUAUCUUCAUUGUGGUGGAUACACCUUAAGAUAACUUUUAUUCACACAGAGAGACCUUCCUUCAGGACUUGAAGAAGCAAGUCAAGUUGUUACGAUGUGAAUGGAGAAGUCCACAUGAUGAUCUGUCCAAUGCUGAGACUCAGACGUUGAAGUCC
rnacentral:lncRNA from 1 species